UUCCCUCUCUCUCUCUCUCUCUCUCUCUCUAAAUCUAAAACAUCAACCAACACUACUGCAGUAUUACUUUAUAUUAGAAUAAUGGUAUUAUCCCUUUCUUUAUAUUAGAAUUUGAACUUUUAUAUUUUAUAUUUAUAUUUUAGAAUUUAAAAUAUAUACUUUUAAAUUUUAAAAUUUUAAAAUCUCAAAUUUACAAUUUUAAAAAAUUAAAAUUUUAAUUUUUAAACUUUAAUAAAUAGUUAUUAAUUUAGCCAAUAUUUUAUUACUAACUUAGUCAAUUAUUAAUUUAGUUAAUUAAUUAAUAAAAUAUUAUAUAAUACAUUAAUUAAUAAUAUUUUAUUAUUAAAUUAGUAGAGGUAUAAAGAGAAGAAAUUGUUAUUCCACCAAAAAGGUGGAACAACAAUUUCUUACUCUUAACGGGUUAUUCUAGAAUAACCCGUUAAGAUGGGGAUUAAAUAAACUCAUCCCCUCUUCUAGUGUUUGGAUGAAUUAGAGGAAUAAAGUGGUUUAUUCUCACUUUAUUCCUCAACCAAACACUGCCUUAAUACAUAUCUGGAGUUGGGGAGAUGUUGGUAGUAGGCCUAACUAAUCUCUUAUUUCCGGACCCAGAACUUUUUUAUAAAAUAAUCCUAUAAAAUUUUGAUAUUUGCAAAAUAAUCUUUCCAAAAUUAUAUUUAAAAAAUUAAUCCUCUUUUUGUCAUGCAAGAAUCACGUAAGAGUUUUCUCUUAAAGACGUUCUUUUUAUAUCUCAUAUAUAAUCUUAACAACCAUAUAAAUAUUUCAACAAAUCAUACAUAAUAUUAAUAAGCUGAAAAUUCUAAUAACUAUCCAUACAACCCUAACAAUCAAAAAAAUUCUAAUAAUCUAUCCAUAUAACCCUAAUAAUCGAAUAUCAUAUAUAAUCUUAACAACUUGAAAAUCCUAAAAAUUUAUCCAUACAAUUCUAACAAUUAAAAAAAAUCCUAGUAAUCUAUCCAUACAAUCCUAACAAUAAAAAAAAUUAUAAUAAUCUAUCCAUACAAUCUUAACAAUAAAAAAAAUCUUAAUAAUCUAUACAAUCCUAACAAUCAAACAAAAAUUCUAAUAAUUCAUAUAUAAUCCUAACAAUCUUAUUUUUUUUUUAUUUUCCGUAUAAUCUACGUACAAUUUUAAGAACCUUAAAAAUUAUGAAAAAAGUGGUGAACUGUUAACCGUCUUAANGUAGUAUAUCAAAUUCUCUUUAUGCAACCAAGAUGAUGAUCAAUACUGAUAUAUCAGAAAUAUUGGAGUUCAAAAAUAAGUAAGUUAACCAAUAACCUUAUUAUUUUUUUUAUAUAUAUUGUUCACUUACAUUAAAAUAUAAAAUUUAGGAUUAUAAAAUUUAGGAUUGUAAGCGGAGAACAAAGUAAAUCUAUGGUGCUUAGUGAAAUUUCAACUUAAUCCACUAUUUCUCUAACGAAUGACUUCCUAAAAGUAUCUCAAAGAAAAACUCUGGCUGAAAUUCAAGAAUGCCAACAGGUAAAUAAGUGUAAAUAUCUUAUCCAUAUUUAUCGUUUUAAUAUAUUUUAUUCUCUUAUUCUUAAUACUGAAUAUAUAUCAUCUUUUCAGCCUUGUGUAUAUGUAACUCUAGCAACUAUUCUAAGUGUUGAGACUGAGCGUGGCCGAUACUACAAUUCUUGCAAAAAAUGUAGCAAAAAGAUGAUUCCUGAUGGAACUGGAUUCUAUUGUGAAUUUUGUGAGAGAAUGAUAACUUGUGUUGGACUAAGGUGAGAAUUUUUACUUCUACACUCGACGUGUAUGAUUUAAUGUGAUGUUUUUCUAACUACAAUCUAUAAUAUGCAGGUAGUUUCAAAGUCCAACUAAGGGUGCUAGAUGAGUCUGGGAGUGCUUCGUUGAUUUUAUUUGAUCGUGAGAUUGUCCAGUUUCUGCAAAAUACUGCCGCGCAAUUACACCAACAAGUUUUAUUGGUAAGUGCGUAUUAUUUAUCAUAAAUAUAUGUAGUAUGUUUCUUAUUUUUAUAUAUACUAAUAGUAAAUAUUUUUACUCAGACGGGUGACAUGAGCCAGGCACCUGAAAAGCUUGAUGAGUUUCUGGGAAAAAUAAUACUAUUCAAGAUAAGGAUUAAAGACAAUAAUAUCAAUCAUCCUAAGCCUGUGUACACAGUGAACAAACUGAGCAGCGAUAAAACUCUGAUUGAUGAAUUUUUGAAGAAGUCAAUUUUAAUUGAGGUAAUUGGCAAUUCUAAAUUUAAAUAUGAUGCUACAAUUCAAGUCGAUCUAUAUAAAUAUAUAUANUCCUAACAAUCUUAUUUUUUUUUUAUUUUCCGUAUAAUCUACGUACAAUUUUAAGAACCUUAAAAAUUAUGAAAAAAGUGGUGAACUGUUAACCGUCUUAAUAAAUGCGGUGAAUAAUUUACUGCUUUUAGAAGACCUUUUUUCUAAAUGCGAUGAAUGAUUUAACAUAUUUCGAAAAUUAAAUUGCCAAAUAAAAUUUUGGUAGGAUUAUUUUGUAAAUUAUAAAAUUUAAAAAAAUUAUUU
rnacentral:lncRNA from 1 species